rnacentral:rRNA from 1 species
GGUUAAGCGACUAAGCGUACACGGUGGAUGCCCUGGCAGUCAGAGGCGAUGAAGGACGUGCUAAUCUGCGAUAAGCGUCGGUAAGGUGAUAUGAACCGUUAUAACCGGCGAUUUCCGAAUGGGGAAACCCAGUGUGAUUCGUCACACUAUCAUUAACUGAAUCCAUAGGUUAAUGAGGCGAACCGGGGGAACUGAAACAUCUAAGUACCCCGAGGAAAAGAAAUCAACCGAGAUUCCCCCAGUAGCGGCGAGCGAACGGGGAGCAGCCCAGAGCCUGAAUCAGUGUGUGUGUUAGUGGAAGCGUCUGGAAAGGCGCGCGAUACAGGGUGACAGCCCCGUACACAAAAAUGCACAUGCUGUGAGCUCGAUGAGUAGGGCGGGACACGUGGUAUCCUGUCUGAAUA